GGGUGGACAAACUGAAGAGGAGCAGUGAAGAUGAAGAUGUGUUAAAAUAAUACAAAAAAUAGCCAGAGGCUGGGUGACUGUCUGUUAUACACCGCCGUGUCUCCCAGAGGGAGAGCUAAUGAUCACAUGCAGGACUGUCUGCUUCUGUGUGACUGUGCACACCUACAUCUCUCAGCCCUGCAGGCACAGACAUUUGCUAUCUUUAGAACUAUUGCACCGUGGUCGCUGGAGACUUGGUUCAAACACCAAUUACGAUAGAUCCGGGGAGCAAUCAUCUCUUUUGUUAGAUAUUCUUUGAAGUUUGGGGGUUUUUUUAUAUGCCCCUUCAAUGAAGUUGCGUCAAUGGAAAUGCAGUCCAUCUAUUGGUCUAUUUAUAAUGCCCUGUUUUCAGCCUGCUGGGUUAGAUCACGUCCUUUUUUUCUUUCCCCCCAGCUUCCUGUAAUCACGUCUCAUCAGUCUCACCUGUUCAUCUUCUUCAGCUCCGGUUCUGCUGUCUUCCUUCGACUUUCCUUUACUGUGUUUGGACACCAAGAUUUAACUGCAGUUUUGCUUCAGAUUUGAUCUGGCCUAAUGGAAAUGUUUUGUUAUACUUUCUGAGUUUGUGGAUUUUUGGAUUAGGGCCUGUGGAUUUUCUUUUUGAAUUGACGGUGCCGCUUAUAACUGCUGGGAGUUAAGCGGAUUCUAUUUUCCUUGGAACUUUACCUGUUUGUGGAUUAAUUUCCUUGGCUGCCUGCUAACACUCCCACUUCCCCUGAGGACAGCUUCUGAGGCAUCUCCAUCCCACUAAGACUCUCCUGUCUGCUCCUGCAACAAAAGGAAAGACCAAAGCCAGAACCCCACCUCCACCACCUCUCCAUCUCCCCCCUCCUUCCUCCCCUCACCGCCCGAAUUUCAUUUCUCCACCAUCCAUUAGGUUCACCAAAUAGAUGCCUGGAGGAUGAGACGGAGAGAGCUUCACUCUGUUAAAGAGAUUUUCUGAGAGAUUGAGAGGACAGGAAGGUAGGAGUGAAUAGGGGAGACAUAUUAAAGAAAGAAGUGUGGGAGAAAGAAAUUGCAUUAGAAUAGCGAAUCUAGAAAAAAAAGAAAACGGAAGAAUGGAGAUGGAUGACAUUCACGGAUGAAUACGAGGCUGAAAAUACCGUGACCUACUUUUGUAUUGUCUGUCAUUACCUUCCUUUGGGCCAUUUUCCUGUCACUGAUCUGUGGUCAACUUACUGUAAAGUGCUCUAUUGCUGUUUGGGAGGGAGAGCUCUUCCCGUCUGAACAAUGAAUCUCUUAAGGAUUCGUGCUCUAUGGGGUAAAAUAGAAAAGAAGAAAACACAAAAGCCAGUUUCUUUUCAAACAGGUUUAUUUAAGAAGUCACCCUUCAUCAUUCAGUGAAUCAAAAUUUAUUUAAAAAGUGAGUAAUAUGCUAAUGAGGGAAUUUUACUUUAGUGGAAAGCAGCUAGUAAGUCUGAAAUUGAACAGCAACAUUUUUAAAACCAUUUGAAGACAUACAUAUAGCAAAAAAUAGAUAAAUUAAGUCCAGAGAAAAAAUAAACCAAACAAAUUUGAAUGAAUGAGAAAAAAACAAAAUUGUUUCCUUAUAGGAUUUGCAUAUUAAAGGACGCAGUCCUCAGAAACACCUACACAAGAGAAGUGGAGUCAACGCGUCACGACUGGAAAAUCUUACAAAUUCAUUUCAGCAUAAUUUAGUUCCUCUUCCCUCUAAAUUUGUCUUUUACUUCCUCAUGUGUCAUUUUAGUGUUUUCAGUAAACUUCUGCAGACCAUGAAGUUGCCAGCAGCUUUAAUCAUCAUCUGUGCUAAGGUUUCUAAUGCAAGAAUUAUUAUAAUUAUUUUACAUAAAUGUUUGAAAACCACUAAAUACGUGUACAUAUUUAGCUUUUCUAAACUGUUAAAUUACAGUGUGUUAUUUGGAAUAAUAAAAAUGUAAGGAAAUUGAUUUAGAAUUUUUCGAGCAAAAAGUCAAGAGCAGCACUAACCGGAGAGUAAUUUUUGUUUGGAUCUUCUUCUUGUUUCUCUCUUAUUUUUUCUUCCCAACAGAGUUCUUAUAGUGUUCUUGUGGUUGUUCUUCAUGACUGCUGAUCUGUCUUUGCAUUCUAACCUGUUUUUGAACCUUGGAUUGUGAUUUGUUUUGUCCACCUGUGAAGUGGUUAGUCAGGCCUGAUGGUUCCUGGAUUAACUGAGUUAAUGUCCAACCAGAAAUAUUUAGAGUGUGACUCGGGUUUACAGUUUUUAUUAGUUUAUGCACACAUUGGAUUUUUUUUAAGUUGAUUUUUCUGAGUUGCUGCUUUUGCAAAAAAAUAAAAAAAAUAAAAAAUAGAAGGCUGAUAUAUUGUUACCAGUAUCAAUAUUGGUUGAUAUUUCCACAAUUUGAAUUUAUCGGUAUUGAACACAUUCUAAAAAAUCCACCAAUGUUUUUACUGCUUUCAGAUGCAUGUUUCAGAUACUUUCAGAUACUUGUUCAAAAUAGAUCAUUGGCACUGGGAAGCUUAUGUUUCCAGUCAUUGCAGUAAUUGUUCCGACUGUUUUCAUGUAUAUUAUAUAUUUGAUAGGGAUACAUGUUGUUCCUAAUAAAUCCCCGGCAUUGGAGAGCUUGUGAUUUACAGCUGUGUCUAAUAGUCAGUAUUAGUCUGAAUGUUUUCAGAGUUUUAAAGUAAUACUUGUUCCUAUGAGACUCUUAGCUGUAUGUUAAAAAGGUUAAGUAUAAUGUAAUUGCAUAAUAAGAGAUAAGUUGUGCAUUUCUUAUAAAGAAACAAAAAUCAAAUCUAAACCUGGUGUUGUUGUAGUGUAGACACCUAAAUAUUGGUAUCUGCAAAUAUCGACCGAAGUUGCAGGAGAAAUAUCGGUUAUUGGUAUCAGCCAGAAAAAAUCCGUCCAUCCCUAUUUCUUAAGCAGAUGUUAAAUAUGCAACAAAAACUAAAGAAAAUAUAACAUUUUAAGCCCUAGUUUGAAAAGAUGUGUCUCAUAUCAGACAAGAUUUGUGGUUCAGGAUUCUUUUCAUCUUCUUGUCUCUGUGGGUCUAAAAUCUUCCAGACCAUUUUCAUUUCUUCCCAUUUUUGUCAAACAGUACAUUGAUUAUGACCAAAAAAGUGCCCCAUUGUAAAUGUGUGAUGAUGAACAACAGGGGUGUAUUUCUGAAAAUUGAUGGGUUCAAGCUCAGUCAAGAAAAGAAGUUGCCAUGACAACGUCUGUAUGCAUCGCAAAAGAACCAGAAAAAGGGGGAAAAAAAAACUGCUUUGAAAAAACCACCUCAGGGUAAUUUUACAAACAGGAAUAUUCCAGCAUGUGGGCAGAAAACAAAGAUAGAUUAAUCAGUUAUGGCAGCUGAGGCAAGGAAACGGUGAGGCAGGUGAGCUUUUUAAAUCAGCAUGAGCCGGAAGGAGAAUUAAAAAAAAAA